rnacentral:tRNA from 1 species
UCUCCUGUAGCUCAGUGGUAGAGUGUCCGACUGGUGUGUAGAAGGUCAUAGGUCGACUCCUGUUGGGGGAA